GGAGAGCACAAACACGAAGAGUGCAAGAAGAUAACAGGACGGACAGAACGUAUGCAACUUCUUCAUAUAAACUGGGAUUGCGACAAUGAUCUGUUCAUGUUCGAGCUGCAAAAGUUUGUAGGAGACUUGGGUGACAAGAAGUUAACUAAACGAAACCUGCUGAGCGCACUAGCAAAGAUAUUUGAUCCGCUAGGAUUAAUUAGCUGCGUAAUAGUUUUGAUGAAAAUCUUGUUUCAGCAGCUGUGCGUAGAAAAGAUUGAUUGGGAUGACGAGAUAAGCAGAAAGUACGCCUGUCUAUACACUGAAUGGAUUGAAGAUAUAAACCGUGUUAAGACUAUUAAGCUAAGUAGAUCAGGGGCGGAACUAGCACCUUUUUAAUGGGGGGGGGGCUGGGGAUGAAAUUGCCCUGCAAGGACAUAAGAUGCCCUGCAGAUCAUAUGGAACAGUACUUACACUAUAUAUUUUUGUAAUACAUGUUGUAUUUUUGUGGCAGAACGCACUUUAGCGUACUAUUAAAUCUUUAAUGGCA